AUUGAACGCUGGCGGCAGGCCUAACACAUGCAAGUCGAGCGAGCGGCGGACGGGUGAGUAAUGUCUGGGAAACUGCCUGAUGGAGGGGGAUAACUACUGGAAACGGUAGCUAAUACCGCAUACCAUCAGAUGUGCCCAGAUGGGAUUAGCUAGUAGGUUGGGUAACGGCUCACCUAGGCGACGAUCCCUAGCUGGCCUGAGAGGAUGACCAGACACACUGGCACUGUGACACGGUCCAGACUCCGACGGGAUGCAGAAUUGGGAAAUAUUGAACAAUGGGCGCAAGCCGGAUGCAGCCAUGCCGCGUGUGUAAAGAAGGCCUUCGGGUUGGAAAGCACUUUCAGCGGGGAGGCGUUACCCGCAGAAGAAGCGCCGGCUAACUCCGUGCCAGCAGCCGCGGUAAUAC
rnacentral:rRNA from 1 species